UACGUAGGGACCAAGCGUUGUUCGGAUUUACUGGGCGUAAAGGGCGCGUAGGCGGCAUAUUAAGUCAGCUGUGAAAUCUCCGAGCUUAACUCGGAACUGUCAGCUGAUACUGAUGUGCUAGAGUGCAGAAAGGGCAAUCGGAAUUCUUGGUGUAGCGGUGAAAUGCGUAGAUAUCAAGAGGAACACCUGAGGCGAAGGCGGGUUGCUAGGCUGACACUGACGCUGAGUGCGCGAAAGCCAGGGGAGCAAACGGG
rnacentral:rRNA from 1 species